rnacentral:rRNA from 1 species
ACGGGUGAGUAACGCGUGGGAACGUGCCUUCUGGUCUGGAAUAACCCUGGGAAACUAGGGCUAAUACCGGAUACGCCCUUUUGGGGAAAGGUUUACUGCCGGAAGAUCGGCCCGCGUCUGAUUAGCUAGUUGGUGGGGUAACGGCCUACCAAGGCGACGAUCAGUAGCUGGUCUGAGAGGAUGAUCAGCCACACUGGGACUGAGACACGGCCCAGACUCCUACGGGAGGCAGCAGUGGGGAAUAUUGGACAAUGGGCGCAAGCCUGAUCCAGCCAUGCCGCGUGAGUGAUGAAGGCCUUAGGGUUGUAAAGCUCUUUUAUCCGGGACGAUAAUGACGGUACCGGAGGAAUAAGCCCCGGCUAACUUCGUGCCAGCAGCCGCGGUAAUACGAAGGGGGCUAGCGUUGCUCGGAAUCACUGGGCGUAAAGGGCGCGUAGGCGGCGUUUUAAGUCGGGGGUGAAAGCCUGUGGCUCAACCACAGAAUGGCCUUCGAUACUGGGACGCUUGAGUAUGGUAGAGGUUGGUGGAACUGCGAGUGUAGAGGUGAAAUUCGUAGA